rnacentral:lncRNA from 1 species
AUUCUCCUUCUGCCGCCUCGUGAGGAAGGUUUCAUGCUUCUCCUUUGCCUUCUGCCAUGACUGUAAGUUUCCUGAGUCCUUUCAUGCUUCCCCUUUGCCUUCUGCCAUGACUGUAAGUUUCCUGAGUCCUCCCCAGCCAUGCAGAACUGUGAGUCAAUUGAACCUCUUUCCUUUAUAAGUUACUCAGUCUCAGGCAUAUCUUUAUAGCAGUGUGAGAACAAACUCAUACCAUCUAUGUGCUUGCAAAAUCCACUAUGAGAAUCAGAGAGAGGUUAAGACACUUGGCCAAAGUGACACAGCAACAGAAGCCAAUGGGAAGGUAAGGCUGUUUCUGCAGAUCUCUGAGCAGAUGGGGAAAGGUGAAAAUUCAGCUUUUCUAAGAAAAAACAACAGACUUCCUACAGUUCAGCUAACUCCAGACCCCUUCCCAGGGGGCACUUGUUCCUGUGGGAGACAUGUGCCCCCAAACACAGGCCAAGAAGACUGUUAGUUUUCCGCCACUGCUGGAACAAAGCAUCCUAAACUUUGUGGCUAAAAACAAUAGGAAUCGUGUUCCCUCAACGUUUGGGUGGCAGCAGGGCCAUACUCUCUCUGAAGGCUGUUGGGGAGGAUACUUCCCGGCCCCUUCCAGCUUCUGGUGGUUGCCAGCAUCGUUGGCAGUCCUUAGCUGUGGCUACCACACUCUAAUCUCUGCCUCUGUGGUCACGUGGCUUUUCCCUGCAUGUCUCUGUCCAAACUUCCUCCUUCUUAUAAGGAUCCACUCCAAUCCAGUAUGACUUCAUCUUCAGUUGAUCACGUCUGCAAGGACCCUAUUUCCAGAGGUCACAUUCGUAGGGAGAAACUCUCCACGGGUGCUGAGAUGUCUUUGACACCUCGCUGAGUAAGGUUGGCAGAGCUUCCUUCACAACAGCCGGAAACGGUUUCCAUUGAAAACCUUCCUCAGGCAGCAGGACAGAAAGCAGACUUGGGUGACACCUUUUGUUUCUCUGUGUUCACUUUCACCAUCACCUACUCUUCCGGUAAGUGAUAUCGGCUUUCCGAUUAGGGGGUGAUCUGAGCUUUCCUCUUUACGUCCAUUUAUUUGCCUACAGAGAAAGUGAGUAUUUGUUUUUAAAGUGAGCAAAUAGCAGUUCAGCAAGGAAAAGGCAGAGGCUGUUCCCAUGGGUGGUUCAAGGAGGUGGGGCAGGAGCCGCGCAGUGACACCUGAAUGCCUGGGGCAGGCAGCCACCUGGGCUUUUGAGGUCUGGAGUGGAAUGUUUCAUCGACUGCUUCAAAGGAUCCCAUUAUCUGAACUACCUUCUGAUCUGUGUAGAUGCCACCCGGAUACAAUCCACAUUCGGCGACCUGCUGGUGUAGCUGGGCUGCACAAGGAUCGGGCGGUCCCACAGGACUGAACUAGAGGGAUGGGGCUGAGCGGGGCUGAGAGACAGGGCCUGGUGCCAUUCAGCCUCCCCCAGUCUCGGCAAAAGGAGAUGCAGGGGCCUCACUACGCAAGCAUUUAGCAAGCUCACCUUCAAAGGUUUAUUUUGCCCCCUUCCUCUGAAGGUGACACGUUCCAUCCACAAGUCAGUGAGAAAUGGGCUGGCCUGAGCUGUUGGAGAGCGUCGAAGGAGGUUUGCCCCGACAGCUGUGGGGCUACCCCUUUGUCCUGAGAAAUUCACAGCCGGGGCCUGAUGGUGUGAAUGAGUCCACUUCUGGACAGGGCUGUGGGCACAGGGCUGUGUGUGGCUCAGGGAGCUCAGGCACAGCCUCUUCUUUUUCUCUUUUGUACACACUGGGAUUACCCGGCUUGUGAACCAGUGAGAUCUGGAGACAGAUCCUGUGAUGAAAUCAGGCCACCAUAACCUCCCAUCAUAGCCUCUGCAUACAAUCCUUCCAUGUUCCCCUUUCCAGGUAUCUGUUGCUGUGUAAGGAGUUACCCCAAAACUUAGCAGCAUGAAACAAUAGCAAUGAUUUUAUUGUUAUGUCAUGGUUCCGAUGUUGACUGGGCUCAGCUAGGCGGUUCUGGCGUGGGGCCUCUCAUGUGGUUGCAGUCACAUGGGGACUGGGGCUGAGGUUAUCUCAACCCACAUGUCUGGCAGUCACUAUUUGAUAGUUGAUAUGUGACUGCCAGGUGGAACCUCAGCUGGGGGCCAGAGCCUCCACGUGUGACUUGGGCUUCCUUACAACAUGGUGCUCCAGAAAAAAAAUUUCCCAAGAGGGCCAGGAGGAAGCCAUAACACCUCCUAUAACAGUCUCAGAAGUUCCCCAGUUUCCCUUCCAUUGUAGUCUCAGCCCUGGGCAAGGGGAGGGACAUAACUCCCAGCUCCCAAUAGCAGGAGUGCCCACCUCACAUUGUAAAAAGAGCUUGUGGGAUGGAAGAAUUUGUAGCCAUCUUGGAAAACACAGCCACUUCCAUCCUUCCUGCUUCUCUGCUCUAAUUCCAGCCCAGCUUCUGAAGCUGUGGGCCAUUAUUAGGCUCCUAUAGUAUGCCAGCUGUUUUCAUGAACAUCAUCACACAACUAGCUACAGCUCCCCUUGGGUGAGUCUGUCAUUUUCCCGUCUUACGAACAAGGGGUCUGGGCAUCAGAAUGCUUAAGGUACCUGUACAAAGUCCCACAGUUGUUCAGUAACUUUAUUGGACAUCAGUUGCCCCUUCUGGUCACAGCCCCUCUAGUUUACUUGGAGACAGCCCUUCACUCACCUCAGACCAUGUGGUUUGUGUUGAACUGGUUCUCCCCAUUGGUCCAGAGAUGGGCAUGUGACUAAGGCUCCGCCAAUCCAAAUUUUCCAAACCUCUGGCCUCAGUGAUUGGUUCAGGGGUCAUUGAAUGAUCCAAUUCUGUCCAGUAAGAGGUAUCCCAGGACUGUUGCAGGAACAGUUGGGAAGUGAGAAUCUGGACUGAUUGAGCAUGUUUAGCUGUGCCUGCUGGGAUACCAUUUCCGUGGUGAAGGCAGGGCAUGACUGAGGAGGAAGCCAAUAUGGACACAAACAACUGUGCAUUCUGAGGCCAUUGCUUGGGCCCCUGGAUUCAGCCAUACCUGAGGCCAGCACUACCUCGGAAUUUACCAUUACAAGAACUAAUAACUUUUCCUUUUAGUUGAAGGCAGUUUGAGUUGGGGCUUCUAUGAUAGCCAAAGUCUCAUCCGAGCACUUUGCAGGGCCGAGGCGAGAGGCUCGCCUGAGCCCAGGAGUUUGAGAGCAGCCUGGGCAACAUGACAAAACCCCAUCUCUACAAAAUUAAAGAAAAAAAAUUAAGUGAGUGUGGCAGCCUGUGCCUGCAGUUUCAGCAACCUGGGAGGCUGAAGUGGGAGAGUCACUUGAGCCUAGGGAGCUUGAGGCUGCAGUGAGCUGUGAUUGCACCACUACAUUCCAGGCUGGGUGACACAGCAAGACCCUGUCUCAAAAAAAAUGCAGAAAAGGAAUUUGAGCCCAGACCUAUCUGAGUCCACAAAUUCUAAAUUCUUUCCCCAGAACCAUGCCACUUCCCUGAGUGCCAUCUACCUUCAAGGCCCAGAUCAAUUAUCCCUUUUCCAAGACAACCUCCCUGAUAUCAGCUCACAGCGUCUCCCCUCAGACUCCAAUUGCUGGAGUCUGUGGCCUUUGGUGUAGGUGCUUUCCAGGGAAGGCCUCCCUGAUCAACAUGGUGCCUUCUUCUACCAGGCAUGGGUGCCUAAAAUGUCACCAUCAGAGCCUCAUUCCUCUGGGUUAAGCAUUGCUCUUUUUGAGUGACUAUUUUAAAAUCUUGAUCCCCUGAGAUUGGGAGUCGAAUCACCAUGGUCCAAGAAAAAUGAUAAGGGCAUUCUUGGAGAGACAGGCAGUAAAACGAGGGAAGAGAUGUGUUUCAUUCUCACUAGCAAGGAGGAAGUAGCAUUUAAAGCUGCACCUUCAAAGGAAAAGAGACUUUUAGAGUUGAGGUUAUAGAAAAGGUAUCCCAGGUAGAAGGAGAAGAUCGAGAGGAGAGAACUUGUGGGACACAGUCAGGAAAUAGCCAAUUUGCUGCUGUUGCUGGUAUACCAUAUAGGACUGAAGCCAGCUCAGAAGGUCCUGGGAUUGUGAAAUACCACACUGAGGCGUUUGAUAUUUAUUUUCUGGGUAAUAGGGGGCCAUCGAAGGUGCUUGAGUCACGGCAGUGGGGUCGGGGGAGUCUCAAUCAGAGCAGCAGUUUAGGAAGAUGAAUCUGUGCAGUGUGGAAGGGCAGUGUGUGAAGAGGCCAUAGGCUGGGCCAGGGGAGCCAAGUGAGAAGUGAGGUCAUCCAAACCAGAAUUGCAACAGUGAGAUAAGAAGUGAUUAGGCACAUUUUGGGGGAAAACUGGCUUGAUAUAGAGACAGGCCAGGAGGGGUGGAGCCUUAGAACAGCAUCGGUGCUGGGUCCCCGUGCUGGGCCCAAGCUCAGCCUCUCCCUCUUUUAAGAGAAGGACCUGUCACCAGCCCACAUAAUAGCUGUGGCUCCAUGCUGGUAUGUGGAUCAGGAUGGGCUUUUUCAUUGCUGUGUAGUUUUCCACUGUAAGGAUGUACCACAAUUCAUUUAUCCAUUUACCUCUGAUGGACAUACAGGUAGUUUCCAAUAACCUCCUUUUUAAAUUUUGAGAUGUCACCUUGCAUGAAGCAAUGCAACCUGGGACAUUAAUGGGAUGGGCUAACUAUAUUUUUCUAGUAUACAUUAAAUACAUGCAUAAUUAUUAAAAAUAAAAGAGAUACUCGUCUGGGACCACCUCCUGUCACUUGCUCCUGCACGAGGCUUGCUUUGGCAAAGGCUGCGAGAAUUCGUCGCUGCCGCAGUUGCUGGAUUGUUAGAUGACGAUGUCAUUCAGGCCCGGUGGUGGCCCAGAGGCUAAGCUCCCCUUCCCACACCCUCCUUAUCCCUGGACAAGAGGCCUUCUGGAAGGCUACUCCUGCUCUGGCCCCUGCCUGCCCUCAGCUGGAAGGAGACAUUGUCUCAAUUCAUCCUGCCUUCAAAGGGCUCCUGUCUGAACCAGGCUCCCGGGCAAACCCCAGCCCAAUCCUCGCCUGGAAAAACACACUCGGCCCUUGUUUAGACUGAGGCCGGCCUGCAGGAGGUCAGCCCAGCUGCGAGGGCAGAAGCCUCAGCUCAGCCACAAAACGUGGCGUGGGGGCCCCUCCACUUGCGGCCCCGGGCCCACCCCCGGAGAUGGAGGCUGCUCAGGAAGGAGAAAGCCUCACACAGGGACCCUGUGUGCAUCCCGGUGGUUGGCCAGGAAGGGCCGGUCUGUCAUUCUGGGCUGGAGCUCUCACUCUUGUCAGUCCCUCAGAAACUACACACAAUGGAUUUUCCUUUCUUCCUUCCCAACCAGACCUUCCUGAUGGCCACAAGUGCCCUCAAGACUCCCGAUCAUAAAAAGAAAACUUUCCCUAAACUGAUGUUAUAGACCCUGUUGCAUCCCCCGCGAUUCAUGUGCUGAAGUCCUAACUUCACCCUCAGUGCCUCAGAAUGCAACGUUAUUUGGGAAGUAGGGUCCCUGCAGAUGGAAUUAGUUCAGAUGAGGUCAUACUGGAAUAAGGGGGUCCCUCAUCCAAUAUGAUGUGCUUCUAAAGCGGGGAACUUUGGACACAGACACACACAGGAAGAAUGCCAUGGGAACAUGAAAGCAGAAAUCAGGGUGACGUAUCCGCCAGCCAAGGGAUGCGAAAGAUUGCCAGCGAAGUACCAGAAGCUAGGGAAGAGGCCAGGAACAGAUUCCCACAGAAUGAACCAACCCUGCUGGCCCUUUGAUCUCAGACUUCUGGCCUGCAGAACUGUGAGAGAAUACAUUUCUGUUGUGUAAGCUGCCCCAUUUGUGGUACUUUGUUACGGCAGCCAGGGGAGACUAACGUACCCAACAUUUCAGUCACAAGGACAUUUAUUGAAAAGGCAGCCCAGACCCAUAUCAUCCAUUUCCUUCCUUCCUGUAGCUCCUCAUAUCCGUUAGGGAUGCCUGUUACCUGCAAGUUGCAGAAAGCUUAACUAUCAGUGGCCUGAACAAAAUGGGAGUUUUGUUUUCCUCCUCUAAAAAGAAACCUGGCUAAAAAUCAUACAGUCACAUCAAUAGAUGCAGAAACAGUGUUUGGCAAACUCCAACACCUAUCCCCGACAAAAACUCCCAGCAAACUAGGAGUAAAGAGGAACUUCAACUUGAUAAAGAACAUUUCCGAUAAUCCAAUAGCUAACAUCUCACUUAAUGGUGAGAAACUAGGUUCUUUCCCCGUAAGGUCAGGAACAAGGCAAGGACAUUCACUCUCACCACUCCUUUUCAAGGUCAUACUGGAAAUCAUAGCUAAUGCCAUAAGACAAGUAAGAAAAGGUAUACAGAUUGAGAAGGAAGAAAUAAAACUGUCUUUCUUCACAGAUGACAUGACUGUUUAGAAAAUCCCAAAGAUUCAAAACAAUGACAAAAAACACUAGAAUGAAUAAGUGAUUAUAGCAAGGUUGCAGGAUACAAGGUAACUAUACAAAAGUCAAUUGCUUUCCUACAUAUCAGCAAUGAGCAAGUAGAAUUGGAUAUUUAAAGAAGCCUGGCAAAAGCUGUUUUAGCAACCAGGCCAUGUCAGGGCCUCAGCAGUUCUUAUACCUUUCUCUGUAGUGCCAACAUGCCUGCCAAAGCUCCAGAACAUUCCAGACAGGAAUGUGCAGGGAGGGAGGAGAGUAGAUGCUGUUGGUGCUCACUAAGCCUCCUCAGGAGAGACUGCUUGAGAGUUUAACACCCUCAACCGAUGACAAGUGGGGAUUGAGUGAAUAAAUACCCCAACUAUCUCACUCUUCAGGCACAUAACUCUGAGCUUGUCUACGCUGUCUCUUGGUGUUCCUCAGAAGAAUUGCUUCUAUAAAGUGGGAUUGGUGAUAGUCCUUUCUUCAUAGGGUUGGUGUGAGAGCUGCUGCAUAUAAACCACUGUGCAAAGAGCCAGGCAUACAGUAAGUGCUAAAUAAAUGCCUGUGACUGUGAGCACUCACUCAGUAUGGUUGGGGAGCAGAAGAGAGGCCAGUGUAGCUGGAGCUGGACCAAGGCCUAAGGGCAGAUGAGACCAUGGGCAUCUUGGGGCCAUCUGUGGUGACCCUUGACCUAAGAAGGUCCACAGACUCAUUUUAAAGGAAGGCCACAGCUAGACUCAAUCCCUAGGCAGAGUAGGCUAAGAGUGGGAAAACUCUGGACUUGCCAAGGUUCUGUUUCCACUGAAUGGGGCACAAAGCAGAAAUUUAGUUGAAUUAUAGAAAACUCUAGAGAGUUCUAGAAAAAAACCUGUAGCUGAUGUGUUUGGAGUGGGGGUGGGACUCUUCCAGAGCUAUGCUUUGGGCCAUCAAGCCACAAGGGCCAAGUUUUUUGAGAUUUUACAAGCCAGAGACUCGGGCCUCUGGUCUUCAGGUCAAAAUCCCCCCACUGCAGCCUGGCUCUCUGUAAAGCCUGCCUCCAGCGUGGAAACGGGAAGAUGCAAUGUCUUAGUGGUUAAGCCAUGGAUGGCCACUAGUGGCCCUUGUCCUGGGCCCUUAUCCUUGGUGUGAGAUCUGGAAUCUCUCUCACAGCCCCCGCUUGGUGUCUUCGUGGGUGGCAGCCUGUUGUCAUGGAGGAAGCUGGGAUGCAGUUGUGGAUGAGUGAAUUUAUGAUGGGGAAAUUUAACACAGGGCUGAUUCAUGGCUUUUCAUCCCAGGCCUGGGGGAAGCUCAGACCCCUGUACUCCGGCUGCCUUCAUUUAUUUCAGACUCGUGUGUGAAGAGGCCGGGGGUGGGAGAAGGGUGAAGAAAAGGUUGAACACCAGGCAUGGGGCGAGAGCGCCUUCACCCACCAGGCUCCUCAGGAACCCAGUCCUGGGAAAUGGCCUUGCAGAGGGAACAGUCGCAGCUGGGUUCCAUUCUCCAGUUUCUAAAAGGAGGCAGGAAAAAAAUCAUUCUGCACAUUUGCAGUCGUCUCCCUGCCUGGCUUUUUUUUUUCUUUCCUGCAAGCACAGAGGACGUGGUCCCUGUGUCCUGCCACAGCGCGUGGGGGCUCGUUAAUUAAAGAGCCGAGCAGAUGUCACUGUUCAUUAAGCGCGGCCGCGUGGCUCCUUCUGCAGACACUGCCGCCCUUUGCGCUCACUACUUAAUGACACCGCGUCUCCCUGGCUGCCCCAGCCCUGGAGAAGAGCAGGCAAGGCUGCGUUUCCCCCUAAUUUGGCGGGGUGGGGGGCCUCCGCCCCACUGCGUCCUUGUCGGCUGGGGCGCUGCAGCCAGACACAAGGUGAUGGAGACUUUUAAUUUUCAUCAUGCCUAUCCGUCGGAGCUCCGUUUUAAAUCACUUUAACGGCAGAUUAAAAAUAUAUAAGCUGAUAUUAGAGGACAUUCUUAGUGCCUUUAUAAAUAUCUUAAAUCAAAAGUUUGGCUUAAUUGCACUUGAAUGGGUACAGGAG